rnacentral:rRNA from 1 species
GNGGAUGAAGGCCUAGGGUUGUAAACCUCUUUUCUCAAGGAGGAAGAUCUGACGUUACUUGAGGAAUAAGCAUCGGCUAACCCUGUGCCAGCAGCCGCGGUAAUACAGGGGAUGCAAGUGUUAUCCGGAAUUAUUGGGCGUAAAGCGUCUGCAGGUUGAUAUUUAAGUCUUUUGUUAAACCUUCGGGCUCAACCCGGAAUCUGCAAAGGAAACUAUAUAUCUUGAGUAUGGUAGGGGUAAAGGGAAUUUCCAGUGGAGCGGUGAAAUGCGUAGAUAUUGGAAAGAACACCAACAGCGAAGGCACUUUACUGGGCCAGUACUGACACUCAGAGACGAAAGCUAGGGGAGCAAACANGGAUUAGAUACCCUGGUAGUCCUAGCUGUAAACGAUGGAUACUAGAUGUUGUGUACCUUAGGGUAUGCAGUGUCGUAGCUAACGCGUUAAGUAUCCCGCCU